rnacentral:rRNA from 1 species
UAGGGAAUCUUCCACAAUGGACGAAAGUCUGAUGGAGCAACGCCGCGUGAGUGAUGAAGGGUUUCGGCUCGUAAAACUCUGUUGUUGGAGAAGAACAGGUGAUAGAGUAACUGUUAUCAUCUUGACGGUAUCCAACCAGAAAGCCACGGCUAACUACGUGCCAGCAGCCGCGGUAAUACGUAGGUGGCAAGCGUUGUCCGGAUUUAUUGGGCGUAAAGCGAGCGCAGGCGGUUUUUUAGGUCUGAUGUGAAAGCCUUCGGCUUAACCGGAGAAGGGCAUCGGAAACCGGGAGACUUGAGUGCAGAAGAGGACAGUGGAACUCCAUGUGUAGCGGUGAAAUGCGUAGAUAUAUGGAAGAACACCAGUGGCGAAGGCGGCUGUCUGGUCUGUAACUGACGCUGAGGCUCGAAAGCAUGGGUAGCGAACAGGAUUAGGAUACCCUGGUAGUCCAUGCCGUAAACGAUGAGUGCUAAGUGUUGGAGGGUUUCCGCCCUUCAGUGCUGCAGCUAACGCAUUAAG